UGGCAAUUAUUCCCUUUUCAGAAUAGUCAACUUUGGUCUUGUUUACAGAUUUUGAACAGACUUUGCAACAGAUCCAUAACCAUGUCACCAUUUCACUGUCUAUUCAAAGGAAUAGGAAGACAGCUGUGCAGCUGGGCAGGUGACAGCAGCACUGAGACUGAAGGGAUGUCACAGUGUCUUCCCCUGACUGAGGGCAGGUCCACUCUCUGACUCAGAUCGUAUUUCCAUGGAUGUGGAAAGAAGAAAACCAUGAAUAUGGCAAAGUAUGAAGGAAUAUUGACUACACUUACAGGGAAAAGAAAGUACAAGAACUGAACAAAACCAUAAUGGAUAAUAGAACUGGCAUUCCAGCUAAUAGAAGGAAGAGGCCUAAUCAUCCUCAUAAGCAGGUGUAGUGAGUUUGGAGCACCUGGAGAGCUUCAUUGUAAUGUGAGCUCUGUGGGGAGCAGGUACUGCCCUAGAUAUGAAGUUAGAUCCUGCAGAGACUGGAGGAAUUUUGUGGAAGAACAUGAUUCUAGUGCAGCACUUGGAAGGUCUGAUGACUGAGGAAAUAGAGGAAAAUGAUUAAUUGUACUUCAGUGAGGUGAGUACCUAUGAAGAAGCAUGUAAUUGUAAUGUGGGUAAAGUAUGAAUCUGUUUCAGGGGUCCUUCAGUAAUGCAGCAUGCUUUAAUGUACUUUGAGGUUGAUAGUAAGAGAGCUGCUGCCCUGGGAGCUCAUCUGCUAUAGAUGGCUGAGGCAAGGAACUGGCUGGUACGGGGGAAAUGUGAAUGUGUAGUGGAAUGCGUUAUCUGCUUGGUUGUGUGAUACAUCAGACAGGAGGUUUGGUAGACAUAGGGAAGCCUUUCAGCAGCUCUGACUGAGCACAGGUGAGGCAUUGGAGCUGGUACCAACCCCGGUAGCACAGCACGUGAAGGACAUAUGAAGAAAAAGUCUGGUGGGAUGAGCACAGGAAUGAGGGGUCCAUCAGACUACAGACUAGAAGAACUUGCUUUUUUUAGCAAUACAGAUGCCUGCUGCCUGUCUGUGUAUUUUGCAAUAAAUAGCAGGGAAGAAGAAGACAAAAGGCUUUUACAAAAAAGUAAUUAUAAGCAAGCUGUUAAUAAAUUUAGGCUUGUGGGAAGCUCAUAAGAUACAGGUAAGGUCUUUAGUUUUUUGUUGGGCUUUUUUUUUGUUUGUUUUGUUUUGUUUAACUUCCUGUUCUCAGGUCUGGUGAUUCACAGCCUGAUAGCUUGCAGCAUCUCAAGGCUGAAUCUGAAAGGACUACAGCAGCUCACCCUGGUUUUUCUGGAAACUUAGGGGCCAGCUCUGUUUGCACACUGCCUUUUUUCUAUGUAAGAAACACAUCUUAAAACGAGGAUUUUUUUUUCCUUCUCUUCUAUAAGACCUGACUGAGCAGACCAAAAUCGCCACCUAGUGAGGAUAGUCUCCCAGAUCUCUCACUUCAGGCUUUCUAGUGCAAUUAUAAUUGAGUCAACUAUAUUUGUGAAGUAUUUUGCUACGUUGCUUUGAUUGAAGAUGCUAUGUCAUUUGUUCUGUGCAAGAGCAAAUUAAGUAGAAAUUAAUUUGCUGAACAGGAAAAUAGCCAUUUUCUAGAAAGUGUGUACCAAGCAUAGGAAAAACUAUCACCUCUCUAUGCAAUUACAACUUGAUUACUUGAAUGUAUUUGCAGUAUAUUUACAGGGGUCUUGAGGAAAGGGCUACACUCAAUGUCUGAACUGAAUAUCUUACGUUUCCUGUGUGGGUUGUGUUUUGAAGAGUCUCUGAGCUCUUGGUCCUACUUUCUUUGAAUGAAAUGCUAGAAAUAGGUAAACUGCAUAAUUGGCUGAAAUCCACAGAAGUAUCUUGAAGUGGUUUCAUUUUUAGUAAUCAAUUAAAAUGAGUGUACAAGAUAAAACUACACAGACCAAGUUAGCCAUUUUUGUAGAGGUUUCCAGUUAAAUCUGCUUUGUAGGGUUCUUGAAUCCUCCCUUAUACACUCUAUCGCUUUUCUCUUAUUUCUAUUUUGAUGCUUUUUUGUGGCUUACUUCCUGUUAUUGUGCAGAAAUAAAAAGAAUAUCAAGCUUCAAAAAAAAAAAAAAAGAAAAAAAUCUUAAUGUGUCAAGAUUUUAUUAGAAAUAAUGACAUUUAAAAUGUAGUUUACUUAGAAUUCUUUUACUCCACUGCUACAUUUAGGCAUUUAAGAGUCAUAAUUUCAAGGCUCUCCUUCUGCAGUGAUAAACAUAAAAUACGAGAUAAGGGAAACCAUGAGAACCUCCAGCUACAGGAGUUGUUAACUUUUCAAUAACCACAUGAAAAACUUCUGGUGAAGUCAUGUUGGAAAAUAACAGAAGUUACUGCCCUUUCCUUGGUAGAGUUUGAGUUAUGGUGAUAAGUGCUUCUUCAUGUUUUCAAAGCGGCAUAUGUCAAGCCUAUCUAAAGUCAAUUUUUGAAUCUACUAAUGAUGUAGAAGGAAUCAAAAAAGAACUUCAGAGCUGAAUUUUUUAUUUUCCAAAGGAGCUAAUUUUAAACUGCUAAAUGCUACUGCCUAAAUUUAUUUCCUGCUUUCCUCAGUAAUAAGUCUUCCAAGUGUGAAUGUUAGACUUAGUGAAGAAAUGUGUUACUCAAACAGAACGUUACAGGGGAAUUAACAACAGCUGUAAAUUUCAGAGCAACUUUAAACACUGACUCACCAGGAAUUCCUUGAGAAUAUAUACAUUGCAGUAUUUUAUAAGUUUUGUUAUGUUCCUGUAGCAAUAUGUGGACCAAACUGGGACAGUGCAUCAUGCACUGAUAGCCAUGCAGACGGCUAAGGAAGAUUGGCACUAUUCUUAUUAAAUUAGCAGGAAAUUGCCAGCUGUAUUUCACAUUUGGCACUAAUGCUGUAACAAAUGUGAGUGCAAAAGCAGUAUUGUUUUCCUGUAUGACAUCUUGGUCUGAAACAUUUAGUUAGGUUGGUUAGACUACACAGAAUCUGUAUGUUGAUUCAGUGGGAGUUCAGAUGGCCACGUGUACACACCCACUGCAUACCAGGAAGGAGAGGUCAUUUCUGCCUUCGUGGGGUUACUGUCAAUGUAUCAUACAAAGUACUCAUCUUUAGUCUGACCUUUUCUGGGUUCUAAGAGGGAGUAGAAACCUUAGUUUGCUGAGGAUUAUUUAGUGCAUUGCAGUCCCUUAGGAUGAGCAGAGAAUACAGAUGAAGCCAUGUGUCUUUCUCUCUUCAAAAUUAAUCUUGGAGCAGUUGGAGCUUCUCUUGCCCUCUAAGUCUUUGGUGGUUGAUGUUGUGUUUUUUUGUUUUUUUUUUAACCAUCCUUCUCAUCAAAGAGUUCUUGGGUCUGCUAAGGUGAAAGCUAUCUCAGAAAAUCAGCUGCUGUGAGCCAGCCCACUUUGUGAGACCCUGGAUAUAUCAUAUGUGAGAGCUUUGUGAAGCCCAGUGCUUCAAACUAGGAUAGCAGCAGGUGCAGUGAGAGGUGUCAAGGAAGCAAGAGGAAAACUGCAUAAGAGUUGUGUCCCAAAGCCAAUGGGACACAUUGGUUGCACCUCUCCUUUAGACUGUGACUUUCUGGAUUUAGUACUUGCCUUGACAUCUGCAGUGGCAUCAGAAGAAAACUGAGGGGAUGAUUCUUCUAAUAGCUUAAUAUAUCUCUGGAUUAGGGCUGAAAUCAAGGCACAAAUAACUGGUAAACUGCUAGAAGUUUGAAAUAAUGUUUCUAGGUGUCAUUUUUCAUGUGGGGCAGGAAAAAUAGCUGUUACUUCACAUAUCUGUUUUUAAAAGGGUGGAAACUUUUAAAUGGUGAGAAACGAAAGGUAAGGUCAUGGUUUUACAAGUCAGAAUAAAACUUCAGCUGAAAUUCAAUAUAGCACAUUUGAGGAUAUUACCAACAGCUCUUGGAAAAAGACAGUAAGUGAUUGCUUAUGAUAAGUGAUCUUCAGUAUCUUAUCUGAAGGACAAUGUACCAUAUCUAGAUAUCUUAAGAACUUUGAGGUUCACUGACAUAUGUAACGGACAUAAAACUAAAUGUUAUGUUUAUAUGUUAUUGGACACCAGUUCAGUAUCUGACUGCAGUUCUACCAAAUUUGUCGCCACCUUAGUUUUUCAUCUAGCAACAGAUUUUGUGUUCAGUAGGGAAGGAAAAAAAAAAAGAAUCUGUUGUCUCUGGUAUUGAACCUUUAACCAAGAAGUUGUUGCUAUAGCAAUAAUAUUUCUAAAAAUACUAAAUUUAAAGUAACAGCUUGUAAGAGAAGUUUUUUCUUUUCAUUUUUUUCUCAAGGUCUCUCACACUCCACUUAAAGGAGCUGGAUGUCUGUAUUCUCUAUCAACACAAUACUCUAAGUCAAUUUAAAAAGUAAAAAAAAAAAAAAAAUCAAAAAAGGGAGUGACCUAUUUUUUUCUUUAGGCUAGCAUUGUAUCAGUAAAACAGCCAUUGUAGUGGAGCUGUACAAAAAGAACACAAAUAUUUAGAAGAUGCACAAGGACUUUCCCUGUUAUUUCCCACCCUCUAUCAAUACUAGGCCAUGGCUUUUCAGAUGUGCUACAGUGCAGUGGGUGAUAUUGGGCAGGUAUAGGCUGCCAUUUCACGGGGCUCUGGAACUACAGCUAGCUGAUGUCUCAUGGAAAGAAAACCCUAGCCGUUUUCAGAGGGUGCAGCAGUCACUCCAGACUCAUGUGCGGAUCCACGCUUCAGUUCCCUUUUUCAGGGCACUGGUAUCAAGCACUCUAACACUCUUACUCCUUUAUCCUCUCUAUUGAGUGGAGACUGGGAGCAAAUGAAGGAGAUGCUGUUUUGCCACGUUGUAAACUGGAGAACUAGACAAAUGAUAACACUGAUAAGCAAUGUGAAAAGUGGCAUGUAGCUAAACUAUGGCACUGAACUUCCUUUCCUUACUGGCAUAAAAGUGACAGUCUCAGAAACUUGUCACUGGAGUAAUUAGAAUCAUUUUUAAAUGUCAUUCUCUGUGAGUGGAAACAGGAAGUGGAAUAUAGCUGAAAUUCAGACUUCUCUUUGUCUUUCUCAGUUGCUCUGAAGUCAGACGUGUUAGAGACUCAGAAAAAAGUUAACUGAGAGUGUCUGUUAGUCCCUGUUAGUCCACAGCCACGUGAGUCAGGACUGAUGUUAAGAUGUGUAGUUGGAUCAGAAAAGAACAAUGGUCUGCAUCACAAAUACCGUGAGACAGCUUGUUGCUAAGAUUCUAGGAAACACAGCUUAAAUGAAGACUGAAAUUGCACCAGCAAUGUCAUCACAGUUCUCUGAAAAACUCCUAGCUUAAGAAGUUGCAAUUAUAUCUUUGCUGGACUACUGGAAGAUUUGGCUGCCUGUGAGGAGGCCAGUGCUGGGAUGGUGCUGUCAUGCAACCUGGUCCAGGCUGCUGGGAGAAGUUAUGUGAGAAGAAGCUGGAGGAUUCUUGAUGGUGAUUCCCCCUCCUUGAAACUGGU